rnacentral:lncRNA from 1 species
UUAACUUCUAAUCCACCUUUCUUUUCUGUUUCCAGUCAAACUCUUGAUAUGAGGCCUAUUGACGUGUUCUAACUUCUAACCGUCCCUCAUCCUAUCACCUUAUCUAUAACCCUAGCUUUAAAUAGAUUGCGAAUGUGUCAGAACUUUAACCGACCGGGGUCAUAAUGGCAGAAUUCUAUCUGCCUCUAGAAACAUAGGUUCAACUGAAUUGAAUCGUGAUCGUAGGUC